rnacentral:tRNA from 1 species
GCCGACGUAGCUCAUUCGGUUAGAGCGGUUCACUCAUAAUGAACAGGUAGUAGGUUCGAGUCCUAUCGUCGGCA